UCUAACAUCGAGUGAUAUUAAUUUUUUGUAUCUGUAAACUUCAGGCAAAAUGUAUCCUUCAAGCCCAUACAAAGGAUUUAUGUCAAUGUGGCUGUUCGACAGAGGAUGACCGGAGAUAUCAAGGUCAAAUCCGUCUAUAUAUCCAGCAAUUAUGUGUAAUAAUCGAUGUCUUUGGGUUGGGUCACCUCAUUAUUUGCAACCCUGUGGGCGUACAUAUAUCUUUACAGGAUGCUAGUGGACAGUACAUUGAGGAACUGGCAUUCGGGAGUUGGAUCAUUACGGUAGUCAUGGAGACUCACUCUGACCCGAGUGAAAUACUUAGUAUUGACCUGUAGACUGUUAUUGCAACGUCACAGCCUGAGUUUUUGCCAAACGAGGGUGGAAAACUAUGGAGAGCCUACAAUGCAAAUCAAAAACAGAUAGAGCCUACCCAUCGUUUGUAGAAAUGAUUCGAAAAAAUAUGUAAAAAUAAAAGAGAUAGUUCAGCUUCUGAAUCUUUACAGAGAGCGACAAUUAUGUUUUAUAAUACACCUCAGUCUUAACAUGUGAAAUGAGAAAAGAAUCUUGGAAAAGAAAAGAAGAAUAAUAAUAAUAAUCCUAAUAAUAAAGAAAGGAAGUUUUUCUUGCUGUUUAUGGUUCACGUCAAGAGAGGGUGCUGUAUACAUUGCAUUUUUUAAAAAAGUUUUGUUUAAAUAUUAAGAUAAGAGAAGACUACCUUUUUUGUUUGAGAAAGUCUUUUACUCUUUCAAGAAAAAAAAUUACAUUAAUUUUGAUAAUGUUUUGAAAUAAUAUAUUACUGUAUACUUAUGUAAACUAGCUCAUACUUUUUAGCACAGAUAUACC